GGGACCUACACCACAGCUCACGGCAACGCCAGAUCCUUAACCCAUGGAGCAAGGCCAGGGACCGAACCCGCAACCUCACGGUUCCUAGUCGGAUUUGUUAACCACUGAGCCACGACGGGAACUCUGAGACACCCAGUUUUCAUCCUGGGGUUGUGGGCAAAUUUUCUACCAAUGUGGCAUGCUCUCAGUAUUUUUAUUUAUUUUUUAAAUGGAAAAAAUAGAUCUGGUUUUCCUUUCGAUUUAAAUCUGCUGUUCCCCAUAUGGACGGGGAACUCCUAUCUAGGUUUGAUUAAUGAGCAAUAAAGAUGGUUGGCAAUAAAUCUUUGCCUGUGAUUCUUCUUCAUAUAGAAGAAAACUGACUUGGAGCCAGGCUACCAGCAGGGAAUAAAUGCCCUUUCCUGUUCCCUUUAUUCAGAGAUAAGUCUUGGAUUGAUGCCACUUCUGUAAAAGGAAUCAGACACAGUUCAUGACGGAAGAGAGAAGAGGGAAGUGGCAGCCUGCAUCCUGCCGCAGGGCCGAGAGGAAAAAGCCGGCCUGAUGCCCCCUGGCAGGGACUUCGGAAGAGAACCUGGGGCUGGCCAUGUCGUUUAGGGGUAUGCUAGUUGGCAUGGGGACUAUCAUUGAAACCACUGGGAUACCCCACGGCAUGCUAGAAACCAGGUGAAAGAAUGCAGCCUCAUAUUCCCAUGGCUCUAUUUUAUUUUCAUGACAUAGACGCCACCUCGAGACGCAUCUGCCCAUGAUUUAGAAGGGACAAGAGAGACCAGUUCUGCUCCCAAGUACAGUCGUGGAAGGGUUUGGACUGCCUCUGCCCAUGCAAAUGUUGUCUCGCCUGGCUGACUGCUGGCUUGAUGGAUACGGAUAGGCGAGGUGCAAGGCGUCGUUUCUGCAUUCUUGACUUCCUUCCUCCACAGGAGCUAAUGAAUCCAGUGCUUAGAAAAGAGCCUGACAUGGAGGCAGAAGGUACCAAGUGUUGGGGGAGAAGACGACCCGAGCUCUCCUGCUUGAGCAGCUCUUCACUAACGGUCUGAAGGCGACCCUCAAAUGCAAUGAGGUGAUGAGGUACUGACGCACGGGGUUUGCAGCAGGCAUCUGAUUGUUCUGCCCAGUGUCGCUGCCGACACAAGAUGGGAUUCUUUCCUGUGGUAAUGUUCUUUUUUUAAAAGCGAGUCCAGAGAUGAACAUUAUUGCGUUCCAAGACCAUUUAGUUCUAGGGUGAAGAGGGGUCUGGUUUUAUGCCACCAUGUUUUCCUCUUCAAAUCUGUAGUGAGAGUCAUUCACGUUAUUAUGUUGUAAAGUGGCCUUUUCAUGAGUUGUAAUCAGUAUUCGAAUUCAUCAGAAUUUUACAUGUCAUGUAAAGCAGGAAUGUAUAUGUAUGUUUAUUCCAAUAUUUAAAUGAUUCAAGAAAAUAUUGACAAAUAUUUUUGGCUUCUCCAUUUAAAUAGGGAAUCAGAGGUGUCAGAAUUGUGGUGUCAUAUUUGCUAGACUCUUGGGACCUCAUUAAAUGUGUAAUUAUAAGGUGAUAAUUGUAGUCUUCAGUCUGACUGAACUGGGAAUAUAUUGUGAGUAAAGUUUCCAUUUUAUGAAGAGAGAUGAACAAGAAAGUCAGGAAGUGUAUAAUCAAGGGUGCAAUGUAGGUUAUGGAUUUGAUAUUAAAUUCUUACUAUUUUAUGAACAACUUUCAAUUUGCGUACACUCUCAAUUAACCAUGAGUCAUCAGUAUUGACGGACAGAAAAUUUAGAGUCAUUUAAAAAUCUGUAAGUGUUUACUGAAGUGAGUCUCUAGGCUGUGGCCAUUUCAAAUACCCACUCAAAAAUCCAGAUGCUGUGCAGUUGCUAAAGUACAGUUAUGUUAGACUCCACACUUCCCUCUUCCAGCUGGGACCAUUCUACAGGUCCGAAUGCUUUUGAAGCUAUAAAUGCAUGAGGAUGAAAUUCUUAAAAACAAACUUUUGUUCUAGAACAUAACAGUUCUGACAUGGACUGGCCUUCCUUGGAGAAUUGGGGUGGCUAGUAAUUCAAUGUUAUCUCUAUGUGACCCAAUUUGGAGUAGAACAGAUCAUUUUGUAAGGCAGAUGAAAAACAAUAGUAUUUAUUGAGCAUUACCUUGACUAGGUCAAGGGGCCAUGCUGAAUGCUAUUUCGAAAGCUCUGGUCAAUUUAAAAUACUUUGAUGAAAAUUUAGAACUAAGAGGAUAGCAAUGUCCUUUUUACUUCAGCGAUUUAACGCAGUAAGAUUCCUAGGUAUAAUUAGCUAAUGUAAAUGUAAUUCCUAGUUAAGAUUUAAGAAUGCCUGCCUAACACCUUAAGUCGAUUAACUUUGAAAAUGUAAAACUGUUUCUCCACUAUUUAUUAAAUUAUUUGAUAUUAAGUGUUGGAUUCUAUCUAAUUCUGUUGAUAAAACUUUAAGGUAGCUAGAGGUUGAGAAAUAAUUAUUUUAUGGAUAUUUCACAUUUAUCUUUUGGAUUUUCCUGACAUAAGUACAUCAUUUUUGUGUUACCAUGUCUCAACUUUUCUAAAAAAAGUUUUAGCCUUGACCCGGGGUUCAUUUUCUUUUACAUUAUUUUCUUUUUUUUUAACUUUUUGAGGCAACUCUUGGCUUUGUGGAGGAAUACCAGAGAUAAAUUCAUCAAUAAGCAAAUGUUUCCCUUUUUAACUUUUUAAGUUAUUUUACACAUUAUUUUACUUUUAAUCUUUUCUGAUCUGUUUGACAAAAUUUAGCUGUUGCUUACAUGUCAGCAGUAGACACUGUUUAUACGUCUUUUGGUUUCUCAUAAAUAAUUGUGAUAAUUUAUUGAGGUGCUUGCACAUCACAUAUAUAAAAUAUUUUGUGAUUUUAUGUGUCUUAAUGUGUUCUGACUUUGCUAUAAAAUAUCUUUAACUUUUAUGAUCAGCUAUUCCAGUGUGUCUUGUAACACUCAAUAGCCAUACAUAAAACAUCUGAUGAUUAUGCUGUUUGAAAUCUAGCUUCAAAGAUGGCAAUUUAAAUAAUUAGGAAAUUGGCAAAAUAUUUUUCUUGCAAGUCACUUAAUUUUUUUCGCCAAACCACUAAAACACAUUUCUGCAAAGUACUAUAAUUGAUGCCACCAACACACACCAGGUGUCACUUCUGAUUCUAUUAGAACCAAGAUUCCAGUUAAGUCACUGUGAUAAAAUAUCCUUAUGUGCAGAUUCUGUGCAGUGCAAUGUUUAGUUUGAUAGAAUGAGACAAAUGAUAUCAGUGUAUUGUCUAUUAGACCUGACGUACAAUAAAUCAGAUGAAAGCUUAGCCA
rnacentral:lncRNA from 1 species